AUCCAGCUGACCAGUCCCAAAUAGGACAAAAGGCGUCUUCUAGAU
rnacentral:hammerhead_ribozyme from 1 species